GAUCCUGGCUCGGGACGAACGCUGGCGGCGUGCCUAACACAUGCAAGUCGAACGGAAGUUAGAGCUUCGGUUUUAACUUUAGUGGCGAACGGGUGAGUAACGCGUGAGGAACCUGCCUUUCAGUGGGGGACAACAGUUGGAAACGACUGCUAAUACCGCAUGACACUUUUGGGGGACAUCCCUUAAAAGUCAAAGCUUUAUGUGCUGAAAGAUGGCCUCGCGUCUGAUUAGCUGGUUGGUGAGGUAACGGCUCACCAAGGCG
rnacentral:rRNA from 1 species